AUUGAACGCUGGCGGCAUGCCUUACACAUGCAAGUCGAACGGCAGCACGGGUGCUUGCACCUGGUGGCGAGUGGCGAACGGGUGAGUAAUACAUCGGAACGUACCUUAUCGUGGGGGAUAACGCAGCGAAAGCUGUGCUAAUACCGCAUACGCCCUGAGGGGGAAAGCGGGGGAUCGAAAGACCUCGCGCGACUAGAGCGGCCGAUGCCUGAUUAGCUUGUUGGUGGGGUAAAAGCCCACCAAGGCGACGAUCAGUAGCUGGUCUGAGAGGACGAGCAGCCACACUGGGACUGAGACACGGCCCAGACUCCUACUGGAGGCAGCAGUGGGGGCUUUUGGACAAUGGGGGCAACCCUGAUCCAGCAAUGCCGCGUGAGUGAAGAAGGCCUUCGGGUUGUAAAGCUCUUUUGUCAGGGAAGAAACACCGGCUCUAACACAGUCCGGGAAUGACGGUACCUGAAGAAUAAGCACCGGCUAACUACGUGCCAGCCGCCGCGGUAA
rnacentral:rRNA from 1 species